rnacentral:misc_RNA from 1 species
GGGCUGCAGCCGAGUGAUGACUGUACCGGAGUCAAUGAUGGCGCCGGCCUUAGUAAAAAAUGAAGCAUUCACGGAUAGUUUUCGGCCACCGACGCUUAUUCCAGUGAUGUCAAUGCCAUAAAAAGGGGUGUUUUUGAAUUUUGGUGAUAGCGGAGUGAAUUUCACAGACUUUGGGAGUUUGCCACCGAAACUGAGGUGGCCGGUUGAGCUCAAGAGAG